rnacentral:rRNA from 1 species
GACGUAGGGCGCGAGCGUUGUCCGGAUUUAUUGGGCGUAAAGAGCUCGUAGGCGGUGUGUCGCGGUCGCCGUGAAAACCUGCAGCUUAACUGUGGCUUGCGGUCGAUACGGGCAUCACUGGAGUUCGGCAGGGGAGACUGGAAUUCCUGGUGUAGCGGUGAAAUGCGCAGAUAUCAGGAGGAACACCGGUGGCGAAGGCGGUUCUCUGGGCAUGAUCUGACGGUGAGGAGCGAAAGGUGUGGGGAGCGAAACAGG